CAGUAGCCACGGUAAUACGAGGGGGGCAAGCGUUGUUCGGAAUUAUUGGGCGUAAAGGGUGCGUAGGCGGUUUGACAAGUCUUGUGUGAAAUCUCUGGGCUCAACCCAGAGUCUGCACGGGAAACUGUCGGGCUAGAGGAUGGGAGAGGUGAGUGGAAUUUCCGGUGUAGCGGUGAAAUGCGUAGAUAUCGGAAGGAACACCUGUGGCGAAAGCGGCUCACUGGACCAUUUCUGACGCUGAUGCACGAAAGCUAGGGGAGCAAACAGGAUUAGAGACCCCAGUAGUCCCUGUCUCUUAUAC
rnacentral:rRNA from 1 species